rnacentral:rRNA from 1 species
AUUGAACGCUGGCGGCAUGCCUUACACAUGCAAGUCGAACGGUAACAGGUCUUCGGAUGCUGACGAGUGGCGAACGGGUGAGUAAUACAUCGGAACGUGCCUAGUAGUGGGGGAUAACUACUCGAAAGAGUGGCUAAUACCGCAUGAGAUCUACGGAUGAAAGCAGGGGAUCGCAAGAACUUGUGCUACUAGAGCGGCCGAUGGCAGUUUAGGUGGUUGGUGGGAUAAAAGCUUACCAAGCCGACGAUCUGUAGCUGGUCUGAGAGGACGAUCAGCCACACUGGGACUGAGACACGGCCCAGACUCCUACGGGAGGCAGCAGUGGGGAAUUUUGGACAAUGGGCGAAAGCCUGAUCCAGCAAUGCCGCGUGCAGGAUGAAGGCCUUCGGGUUGUAAACUGCUUUUGUACGGAACGAAAAGCCCCGGGUUAAUACCCUGGGGUCAUGACGGUACCGUAAGAAUAAGCACCGGCUAACUACGUGCCAGCCGCCGCAGUAA